GGAUUGUGGCUCAGAGGUAGAGUGCUCGCCUAGCAUGUGCAAGGCCCUGGGUUUGAUCCUCAGCACCA
rnacentral:tRNA from 1 species